rnacentral:rRNA from 1 species
AACGAACGCUGGCGGCAGGCUUAACACAUGCAAGUCGAACGCCCCGCAAGGGGAGUGGCAGACGGGUGAGUAACGCGUGGGAACGUGCCCUUCGCUUCGGAAUAGCCCCGGGAAACUGGGAGUAAUACCGAAUACGCCGUAUUGGGAAAGAUUUAUCGGCGAAGGAUCGGCCCGCGUUGGAUUAGCUAGUUGGCGGUGUAAUGGACCACCAAGGCUACGAUCCAUAGCUGGUCUGAGAGGAUGAUCAGCCACACUGGGACUGAGACACGGCCCAGACUCCUACGGGAGGCAGCAGUGGGGAAUCUUGGACAAUGGGCGCAAGCCUGAUCCAGCCAUGCCGCGUGAGUGAAGAAGGCCUUAGGGUUGUAAAACUCUUUCGCCGGAGAAGAUAAUGACGGUAUCCGGAGAAGAAGCCCCGGCUAACUUCGUGCCAGCCGCCGCCGUAACAC